UUGAAAUCGAUACUAUGGUUUUGAGGGAAGGUUUUGCUAGUCUCAGGUUUGGGAAUAAAGUUUCAUAAGAGCCUCUUCUUUUCUGUCGUGUAGUAUUGGAAAAUUUCCUGCUAUGUUCUUGUAGUAUUGGAAGGUCGCUUGGAUCUCCAUUUCGGAUAAGUUUCAUCGUAAGUUAGUUGUUUGGAGGGGAAGGAAGCUUUCCAUAGAAUAGCUAAGAUUCUAUGGAAUUUGGUUUUGGAUUAAUUGGGUUCGGACUCUUGUGUAAGUGUAGAACCUAUGUAAGCAAAUUUCUCCUCGUUUAUUAAAAAAAGGAUCAGUGGUAUUUUGUGACUUUCGUUUUGUUGGACGAUUUAGAUUGAUUGGAAUAAUAUUCUUUUCAACGGUGGGUUCCAAGAUGUGAAGAAAAUCCUAGUCUUUAUUAAAUUAUUAUCUUGGGAAUAGGUGAUUAAUAAUAUUAAAGGUUGUAAGGAUUGUAAUUUAUUUUCAUCGAAUUUUUGUCAUGUUUAAUUAGAAUCCUUCGAGAUCUCUUUUAUAUUGA